rnacentral:rRNA from 1 species
GAUGAACGCUGGCGGCGUGCCUAAUACAUGCAAGUCGAGCGAACAGACGAGGAGCUUGCUCCUCUGACGUUAGCGGCGGACGGGUGAGUAACACGUGGAUAACCUACCUAUAAGACUGGGAUAACUUCGGGAAACCGGAGCUAAUACCGGAUAAUAUAUUGAACCGCAUGGUUCAAUAGUGAAAGACGGUUUUGCUGUCACUUAUAGAUGGAUCCGCGCCGCAUUAGCUAGUUGGUAAGGUAACGGCUUACCAAGGCAACGAUGCGUAGCCGACCUGAGAGGGUGAUCGGCCACACUGGAACUGAGACACGGUCCAGACUCCUACGGGAGGCAGCAGUAGGGAAUCUUCCGCAAUGGGCGAAAGCCUGACGGAGCAACGCCGCGUGAGUGAUGAAGGUCUUCGGAUCGUAAAACUCUGUUAUUAAGGAAGAACAAAUGUGUAAGUAACUAUGCACGUCUUGACGGUACCUAAUCAGAAAGCCACGGCUAACUACGU